AUUGAACGCUGGCGGCAUGCUUUACACAUGCGAGUCGAACGGCAGCGCGGGGCAACCUGGCGGCGAGUGGCGAACGGGUGAGUAAUAUAUCGGAACGUACCCAAGAGUGGGGGAUAACGUAGCGAAAGUUACGCUAAUACCGCAUACGAUCUAAGGAUGAAAGUGGGGGAUCGCAAGACCUCAUGCUCCUGGAGCGGCCGAUAUCUGAUUAGCUAGUUGGUGAGGUAAAGGCUCACCAAGGCGACGAUCAGUAGCUGGUCUGAGAGGACGACCAGCCACACUGGAACUGAGACACGGUCCAGACUCCUACGGGAGGCGGCAGUGGGGAAUUUUGGACAAUGGGCGCAAGCCUGAUCCAGCAAUGCCGCGUGAGUGAAGAAGGCCUUCGGGUUGUAAAGCUCUUUUGUCAGGGAAGAAACGGUAGAGGCUAAUAUCCUUUGCUAAUGACGGUACCUGAAGAAUAAGCACCGGCUAACUACGUG
rnacentral:rRNA from 1 species